GGAGGUAUACUCAAGUGGUUGAAGAGGCUGGUCUUGAAAACCAGGAGGUCGGUUGAAAGCCGGCGCGAGGGUUCGACUCCCCCUACCUCCGCCA
rnacentral:tRNA from 1 species